rnacentral:rRNA from 1 species
GUGCCAGCCGCCGCGGUAAUACGGAGGAUGCGAGCGUUAUCCGGAUUCAUUGGGUUUAAAGGGUGCGCAGGCGGGGCAUUAAGUCAGUGGUGAAAUAAGACGGCUCAACUGUCUGGCUGCCAUUGAUACUGAUGUUCUAGAGUGUAAUUGGAGUGGGCGGAAUGUGUCAUGUAGCGGUGAAAUGCUUAGAUAUGACACAGAACACCGAUCGCGAAGGCAGCUCACUAAGUUAAUACUGACGCUCAUGCACGAAAGCGUGGGGAUCAAACAGGAUUAGAUACCCUGGUAGUCCACGCUGUAAACGAUGAUUACUCGAUGUUGGCGAUAUACAGUCAGUGUCUGAACGAAAGUAUUAAGUAAUCCACCUGGGGAGUACGUUCGCUAGGAUGAAACUCAAAGGAAUUGACGG